rnacentral:lncRNA from 1 species
GGCACUUGGUACGCCAGUAGACAUGAAGUAAAGUUCUCCUGCUUCAUCUUCAGCAAAAGAGAUUAUGUACUGGUAAUAGUUAUUGAUGAGCCCGGGGAACAUGCAGGUUUGUCCUGUUCCCAUGCAGAUCUCGCUGUAUUGCCACUCUCCGGUAGCGCGAUCCUCUUUCAAAGACAUCAGGCGUCCACUCAUAAAGUCACCAAAUAUGUACAGGCCAUUCAGGUUCGGAGACUCACAGCCUCGAUAGACAUAGCCUCCUGUAACGGAUUUCCCCAUUUUGUGUGGAUAUGCAUAGAUUGGAAGCACAUCAUCCAGCGAAGAAUUGACGCAAAGCUUUUUAUCAUAACAGCUGAAUCCUUCCCUCGCCCUCCAGCCGUAGUUUUUCCCCUUCUCUACAAUGUCGAUCUCUUCGUAUUUGUUCUGUCCUACAUCCCCG